CUAUGCGAGUUUCCCUUCUUCCCUCGCCGACCAAACCAAAGGCAAAGAGGACAGAGGAGAGGAGAGGAAAAAAAAAAGAUCGAAGGAAAUUACACAAUCCGAGAGCAAACCUAGGGUUUUCGCCAUGACCACCGCGCACCUCGAGCUCCUCCGCUCCUCCUCCAUUCCCAAUCUCUCCUAGGGCGACGCAGAUACCCGCAUCCCGCAUCCGAGCCGCCUUUCCUUUCCGCCCGCCCCCUCUCUUCCUUCCAUCCCAGGGUUUCCCUCCCCCCUUUCCCCUUUCCGCCCUCAAAGCCGCCGCAUCGCAUCGCAUCGCGUCGCCCACCCAGCAAGCAAGCAAGCCGCCCGCUCUCGUCGUGGGAUUCGGGGGGAGGCGCUGGCGAUCGAGCUCCGGGCGAGGGCCUCGGCAGCGGCGGCGGUCGGAUAAUGUGUAUACUGUGCGCCGUGCAACGGUGGUCGCGCCGCGUCGCCACCAUGCUGCCGUGGCUCGUCCUCCCGCUCAUCCUCCUCUGGGCGCUCUCCCAGCUCCUGCCCGCCGCCUACCGCUUCGAGGUCACCUCCCCGCGCCUCGCCUGCGUCUCCGUCCUCCUCCUCACCCUCUUCUGGUACGAGAUUCUCCUCCCGCGCCUCUCCCUCUGGCGCGCCCGCCGCUCGGCCCGCCUCCGCGAGGAGCGCCGAGCCCAUGCGCUCGAGCUUCAGAAGCUCCGCAAGACCGCCACACGCCGCUGCCGCAACUGCAACAAUCCCUACAGGGACCAGAACCCCGGCGGCGGCAAGUUCAUGUGCUCCUACUGUGGCCACGUAUCCAAGCGGCCUGUGCUUGACAUUGGCCCUGCGGGGAAGGUCCCGGCUGGCUGGCCUUGCACUCAGGAUUGGGCCAAUGCUGUCGGUGACCCCGGUUACUGGCUUGACCUGCAGUGUUCCACCGAUAAUUCCUACUCAGGCUUCUCAUGGCGGCUCUUCUCGUGCUUUUGCACCAGCAUGUCAUGGUUCUGGAAGAAAGUCUUCAGGUUUGGGUCAUCGGUGGACAGCGGUGGAUUGGGCCGGGAUGGCAGAAUGUUGACAAAAGCAGGGGACAAUGGAGGGAAGGCUGAGGAGAGCAGAUUGGACAAGGCGAAAAGGAAGGCUGAGGAGAAGAGGUUGGCCAGGUUGGAGAGGGAAAUGCUCGAGGAGGAGGAAAGGAAGCAGCGCGAAGAGAUGGCAAAGCUAGUGGAGGAGCGGAGAAGGCUGAGGGAUGAGAAGGCAGAGGCUGAGGAGCGAUCCAAAGGCGCUACUCCCGUCGGGGAGAAGGAUGCUAGGAAGGAAGCAGAACGUAGGCGGCAGGAGAGGAGGAGAAAGGAAGACAAGGGAUCAAGCAAGAGCAAUUCAGACUGUGAGGAUGUUGAGAGAAGAGUAAGCAGAGAAGGUGAGAAGAAGCGUGACUUUGAUAGAAGGAAUGACACAGACAGGCGGGAUGUGGCAAGAGUUGGGACAGAUGGAUAUAAGCCCAAUAACUUUGAAGCUAACAGUCAGGGUAGCAAGAUAGCACAGAGCAAGACGAAGUACUUUGGUCGCAUGACUGGAGGUUUGUUAUCUUCUUCCAGAGGUUUUGGCGGUGGUUCCUUUUUUGGUAGAAGUGCUCAGGCCCCUGUUCAUCAAGCUAACAGGGUGACUAAACCGCUCGUUACUGCAACUGACCAGAGUAUUAAAAGAGACACCCAACCUGCAGCUACACCAGCACUGGCCAAAUCUGCUACACCCGCAGAAACUAGAAAUUCAUUGACUAAUUUUAGUCGACCUGUUAGUCCAAAUAUGCAGGCACAUCCUACAGGCCUUAAAAAGUCAUGGCAUCAGUUGUUUAGUCGCUCCGCUGCAGUUUCCCCUUGUCCCGAUAUUACUGCUUCAGCUCGUCAGAAGAACAUGCAGCCUGCCCCAAAUGGUGCACAAAUAAGUAGUGCCCAAAAUUUCCUGGCUCAGUAUCCUCCUCUGGACAGCACGCCGAAGUUAAGCCAAUCCAUGCACUCUGCAGGGUUUUUGCCAGUGAAUGGAGCAUCUGCCAAUAUGCAGCUGUCUCAUUUUCCAGCUGGACAUUUGCCCUUGGGUAAAGUUGCAGAAGCAGCAUUACUGGAAGAACCCGAGCAAUUUGAGGACCCAUGCUAUGAUCCAGAUGCCAUCGCAUUGCUUGGUCCAGUUUCAGAGUCCCUAGACAACUUCCCUCCAGACUGGGAUAGCAGAUUCACCUUGAAUGAUGUUACAAAGGAACCACAUGUUAGGAACCCCAUGCCUUCACCAAUUGAGUCUCCUCUAUCAAGAUCACGAACUGUUGAACGAAAUCCUAUCAGACCCUCACAUUUCUCUACUGCAAAAGGGCAUAAUGGUUCAAUGUCAGCUGAGGCUACCAAUGAGCAAGGCACAUGGCAAAUGUGGAGCACGCCACUGGUUCAGGACAGUUUAGGCCUGCGAGGUCCUCAGGCACAAUGGCUUUUACCAAACACAAAUCAAUUCAACCAUGGCAUCAGUCACUUGAAUGGUGGAAGUGGAACAAGAAGCCCCCUCGGUGCUGGUCUGAGUGACAAUGAUUUAUGGCCGCAGAAAUCACCCUUCCAGCAAUUGCCUCUUGAUACAAAGAGUCUGUUCCUUUCACACGACAUGUCAGAAAGUGCUAUACACAAAGACUCGGGUUUUGGAUCUCCAAACAAAGCAGCCCGUGCGCACCCCUUUGGGCCACCUGAUCCUUAUCAUUCUUGGUCCAAGACGCACAUUCAUGAUCAGCAUUGAGCAACGAGCAAGAUUGAAUUAAGCAUAGCACCAGCCAGGCAGCCACUAGCCCAUGUUCUAAAUCAAACAGAGCACCAGCCACUAAUACAACAUGUACAUAAGUUCAGGACAGAGAAGAGAAACAGUGCAAGAAUGUGGGGAUAAGGAGUUGGGGUGUGUGUGUGUGUGUGGCAAAUCUGGAACUGGAUGCGGGAGGUGCUGCUGGAGGGGGAGGGGUGACAGGAGGGCUGCUGGUCAGAGUAGGAGACAAGGUUAGUGGAGAGUCACUGCCAAUCUGCUUCCGGAGAAGACUAGGUGCAGCUAAUUUCCCCCGACCAUGGCCAUCUCCAUCUCCCUCUCCGCGGACUGUUUCUUUUCCCUACUGCUGGAUGCUGGCCCCACUGACCAGACACGGAAAAUCCAGGUCCAGGCUUCCCUCCCAGCUCGACCCUGCCUAUGGUGUCCAAUGCAGGGCAAGGCGAUGCUCGACCCUGCUUACGGUGUCCAAUGCAGGGCAAGGCGACGCUCAACCCUGCCUAUGGUGUCCAAUUCAGGGCAAGGCGACACACCCCUUGCCAUUUGGAUGCCAUGGUGACACCAUGCCCCUAUGGCGGACGCCACAGGGUAUUUUUAUCGUGAGGUUGGACAGCUUGAGGGAGCAGCUGGUGCCGAAUGGACCCCAGGAAGGUAGUCCAAUCUGCUCGCCUCCGACUGGAGGGCAUGCUGGUUUGUUUCCAACAAAUCCAAAUGCACAAUCAGUCUGGUCGUUU